AGUUCAUUUAACAUCGAAACGCUCGUAAUAAAUUUUGUUUUUGAUCGAAUUAUUCUAAAAUCUUGUCUCGUUGGGAGGUUAAGAUUGUACGACGAGCUAAGCUAUUCGUAUCUUCGUUCUAGCCAAGCAAAGCGUGUAAAUUCUAUGAAGGAGCUUGUCGCUCGAAAAUUAGCGUUUAGAUAACGGGAAUAUAAUCGUGGUAGACUGUAGCAAAGUCGAAGGAGAAAUUUCGUUGGAAUGAGGGGCGGAAGGAGGGCGGGAGAGAAAGGAGGAGGCCGAGGGUAUAAAUAGGCUGUCGGUGGUGUCGACGAAGGCGAGUCACGUUUAACUCAAGAUUUCGAGAGUAACGUCGGAAUAUACGGGUGGGUGGAUCGAAAAUGGUGUUGAUGGGUGAUGGUGGUAGUGAGAGGAAGAAGAAGAGAGAGCUUGGAAGCCAGAGGGAGAUGUCGGGUGGGAGGUGCCAGGUUGCAUGAGAGGAAGAGAGAGCUUCGAUGGUUUCUCUCUUAAUCGCGCUUGCUAGGCGACACAUCGAGGUGCUAACCCGAGGCUCUUGUUAGUCAAUUUUAUAUGCAGCUAGCAUGCGAUGCAACUUAAUGCAGCAUACACAUACAAAACGAAAGAGGGUUUCAGGGUGCAGGUGGCCACCGUGUAUUCCGCUCAGCGAUCGGCUUAGAUAGAAGAUCGUCGUAUGAAUGGAUAGGACAAGAGAGGAGAAGGAGGUGGAGGAUGAGAAGUCGCCUCCCGGGGCCUAUUUGUAAAUCAGUUCCCGGUUGCAGGAUUCUGAUAAACGUCCUCGUUACGCGAAAACGUGCCAGCGUCGCGAUUAUUUAACAUCACGAUGCCAGCAAGCAGGCAACCAACCCCGAAACAUUUGUCUCUUGAUACCCUCUUGUCCCUUGCCGGUGAAACCGUAUCCUAGGAUGCAUCGAACGACGUUACGAGAGACCUUCGUCCCCUUAACCCCUCCAAUUCCUUCUUUAUAAAUUUCUUAAUAAAAUCUACAUUGAAAAAUU